rnacentral:lncRNA from 1 species
ACAUCGGCAAGUUGGUUCAGGUCUUACCAGACGCUAUGCUCAGCCCCCUGGAGAAGAUGAUUAGAUCCGAAAAGAUAAAGUGGGUAAUAGUAGAUGUAUCCAUGAGCUGGGCACUAGAACUGGCUACCACAAUGGGUGUCCGUAUUGCCUUGUUCUCAACUUACUCCGCAGCUAUCUUUGCACUCAGGAUGAACCUUCCUAAACUGAUAGAGGAUGGUAUUCUUGAUGAAACUGGUAAGGACAACUAAAUCACCUGCAACAAAGUAAUUUCUGUGUCACAUGCUUAUUUACUUCAUAUGGUUUAACCAGCCAAACACAUGCAAAAUAUGCAGGGAAUGUAAAGAAGCAUGAGAUGGUCCAACUGAUGCCACCUAUUGAUGCAGCCGAGAUCCCUUGGGUCAGCCUUGGCAGCACCCAAGAAAGACGGAGAUAUAACAUCCAAAAUGUCUUUAAGACCAACCGACUAAUGGCACUUGCUGAAAUGAUCAUCUGCAACACUUUCAGGGAGAUAGAAUCCGAAGCAUUGGAACUCCUCUCAAAUGCACUGCCUGUCGGCCCACUUUUAGCACCUGCUUCGGGGCCAACAGGCCAUUUCUUGCCUGAAGACAUGACUUGCCUCACCUGGCUCGACACACAGGCCCCCGGCUCCGUUAUCUAUGUGGCCUUUGGGAGCUCCACCAUCUUUGACAUAGCUCAGUUCCAUGAGCUUGCUAACGGGCUUGCCGUCUCUGACCAACCAUUUCUGUGGGUUGUCCGACCUAACUUUACCAAUGGAAUCCAAGAAGAUUGGUUCAAUGAAUAUAAAGACCGUAUCAAGGGCAAGGGGUUGGUUAUUAGCUGGGCUCCCCAGCAACGAGUACUAUCACACCCUUCAAUCGCUUGCUUCAUGUCGCACUGUGGGUGGAACUCAACAAUGGAAGGUGUACUGCACGGUGUCCCGUUCUUAUGCUGGCCUUAUUUUUCCGACCAAUUCUGCAACCAGAGCUACAUAUGCAAUGUGUGGAAGACAGGCAUUAAGCUUUUCCGAGACAAGCAAGGGGUUGUCACACAGGAGGAGAUCAAGAACAAGGCGGCGCAGCUCCUAGAAGACAAGGAGAUCAAAGAAAGAGCGGUGACACUGAAGACCACGGCCCGUGCAAGCAUCCAAGAGGGAGGGUCCUCGCACCAGAACUUUCUCGAGCUUGUCAAUUUGCUGAGAGAACAAUGAUCUUUCAGGAUGCAGAAAAAAUCACUGCAGUCUUGGUGCAGUCAAAAUAGGAUUAAUCGGUCAAUAAAAUAAACCGAAUGCACACCAUAAUAAAGAUUCCGUUGUUUGAUGUACACUGUUGUUUAUGAGCCUAUCGUUCAACAUAGAAAGUAGUAUUGGAUUAUGAGCUGUUUAGUACCAUCAUCAGAAUGGGCUAGCGACCACUGGAAGCAUAAAAUUGACUCUAUUAAGCGGGGUUCCCAAUCCCUCCGAAGUGGCAGGAGAAAAUCACAAGGGGCAAAUGCGAGUUUGGUAAUAAAACAGGGCACUACGCAUUCCGUCGACAAAGGGUUUGCCGAUGCACUAGAGGUGUUCGACGGAAUGCCCAACGGCGGACUCCGGCGACGGAACGCAGCACACACCACACAGAAACUGUCCCCGAUGGCCGCCCUACCGUAAGAAAAAAACGAGCGCGAAGCGGGAGCUCACCAAGAUAUCCUUGCCGUUCUCGCGACCGCGCGGCGGCUCCACCCGCGGCGCGACCGAUAUGCCCCCCCGCCCGCGCGCGGCACGGGGUUUGAGCGAGGCG